rnacentral:rRNA from 1 species
AGAGUUUGAUCCUGGCUCAGAUUGAACGCUGGCGGCAUGCUUUACACAUGCAAGUCGAACGGCAGCAUAGGUGCUUGCACCUGAUGGCGAGUGGCGGACGGGUGAGUAAUGCAUCGGGACGUGUCCGGAAGAGGGGGAUAACUGUUCGAAAGAACAGCUAAUACCGCAUAAUAUCCGAGGAAGAAAGCUGGGGACCUUAGGGCCUGGCGCUUACGGGGCGACCGAUGUCUGAUUAGCUAGUUGGUGGGGUAAAAGCCUACCAAGGCGACGAUCAGUAGCUGGUCUGAGAGGACGACCAGCCACACUGGGACUGAGAAACGGCCCAGACUCCUACGGGAGGCAGCAGUGGGGAAUUUUGGACAAUGGGGGCAACCCUGAUCCAGCAAUGCCGUGUGUCUGAAGAAGGCCUUCGGGUUGUAAAGGACUUUUGUUGGGGAGCAAGGUGCACAGGUUAAGAGCUAGUGUACUUGAGAGUACCCAAAGAAUAAGGACCGGCUAACUACGUGCCAGCAGCCGCGGUAAUACGUAGGGUCCAAGCGUUAAUCGGAAUUACUGGGCGUAAAGAGUGCGCAGGCGGCUUUGUAAGCUUGAUGUGAAAUCCCCGGGCUCAACCUGGGAACUGCAUUGAGGACUGCAAGGCUAGAGUGUAGCAGAGGGGGGUAGAAUUCCACGUGUAGCGGUGAAAUGCGUAGA